GCCAGUGUAGCAUAGUGGUUUGAGUGUUGGAUUACGACUCUGGAGACCAGGGUUCGAUUUCCAGUUAGGCCA